rnacentral:lncRNA from 13 species
CAGCAUACAUUAGCAAACAGUUCCAGAUAAACAAGGGAUCUUGAAGUCGCUAUUUCAAAUCUGGAAACAGGCAAAGGAGAUCAUGGAAGAAAUUUAAUUUUUGACUGAUGGUAAUGAAAAGACAAGUAACCUUACUGAUUUAUAAUAAAGCUAACCUAUUUACUGUGGACUGAUUCCUUCAUGCAUCUCACAUUCUGCAACUUGGACUACGGCAUAACUGGCUGGUACAUCAGGUGAUUGAGGCAGCAAUCUUUAAACCUGCUGCCACUAACAGUAUAACCAGAAUGAGUUAGCCUUCCUUACUGCUCCUAAGAAGAUUUCUGUAAGGAGCAAGCACCUUGAAGACUUUCCUUAAAUGGGAAGUAUUAAAUACAUCAUAUCUGGAAGGUGACGGGGAAUAAAAAGAUGAGUUAUUUUGUGAUAUACUUUUAG